rnacentral:tRNA from 1 species
GAGUUAUUAGUAUAAGAAGUAUUUUUAAUUGCAAAUUAAAAGGUUAAUAGCUUU